GACCACGACCGCCUUCGCGGUUGA
rnacentral:sRNA from 1 species